AGUUAAAACUUUCAACAACGGAUCUCUUGGUUCCCGCAUCGAUGAAGAACGCAGCGAAAUGCGAUAAGUAGUGUGAAUUGCAGAAUUCAGUGAAUCAUCGAAUCUUUGAACGCACAUUGCGCCCUCUGGUAUUCCGGAGGGCAUGCCUGUCCGAGCGUCGAGAA
rnacentral:rRNA from 1 species